rnacentral:lncRNA from 1 species
AAAUAACAAGAUAAAAACCAAAAAUUACCUCUAAUGGCGAUAAAUGGUGGUCAAUGACGAUGAUUGUUGGAAAGAAAAAGAGAGACAAUACUAUAUAUGAUGUGGAGGUGUACCGUAAUAUUACGGAUAUAAUAUCAAUCUAAAAAUCAUUAAUCAUAGUUCACAAUGGAUCAUCUUAUAAUGAUUCAUCCUAACCUUCAUCCAAUAAACU